UGGAAGACUAGUGAUUUUGUUGUUUGGUGUCAAAAUUGACAACAAAUCAUUGUCUUCCUCACUGC
ensembl:miRNA tni-mir-7 tni-mir-7